CACGGGGGGAGCAAGCGUUGUUCGGAAUCACUGGGCGUAAAGGGCGUGUAGGCGGUCAGGUAAGUGAGACGUGAAAUGCCCCGGCUUACCCGGGGACCUGCGUCUCAUACUGCUUGGCUUGAGUACGGGAGAGGGUGUGGGAAUUCCUGGUGUAGCGGUGAAAUGCGUAGAUAUUCGCAAGAACACCAGUGGCGAAGGCGGCUCACUGGCCCGGUACUGACGCUGAGGUGCGAAAGCGUGGGGAGCAAACAGG
rnacentral:rRNA from 1 species